AGCAGCCGCGGUAAUUCCAGCUCCAAUAGCGUAUAUUAAAGUUGUUGCAGUUAAAAAGCUCGUAGUUGAAUUUCGAGACCGGUCUACUGGUCGUGCUUUUGUACGUACUGGUUUUAUUGGUUUCUCCUUUCUGACGAACUAUAAUGCCAUUAAUUUGGUGUUAUAGGGAAUCAGGACUGUUACUUUGAAAAAAUUAGAGUGUUUAAAGCAGGCUCACGCUUGAAUACAUUAGCAUGGAAUAACGGAAUAGGACGUUUGAUUUUAUUUUGUUGGUUUCUAGGAUCGACGUAAUGAUUAAUAGGGAUAGUUGGGGGCAUUAGUAUUCAAUUGUCAGAGGUGAAAUUCUUGGAUUUAUUGAAGACUAACUACUGCGAAAGCAUUUGCCAAGGAUGUUUUCAUUAAUCAAGAACGAAAGUUAGGGGAUCGAAGACGAUCAGAUACCGUCGUAGUCUUAACCAUAAACUAUGCCGACUAGGGAUCGGAUGAUGUAAUUUUUAAUGACUCAUUCGGCGCCUUACGG
rnacentral:rRNA from 1 species